rnacentral:rRNA from 1 species
GACGAACGCUGGCGGCGUGCUUAACACAUGCAAGUCGAACGGAAAGGCCCUGCUUUUGUGGGGUGCUCGAGUGGCGAACGGGUGAGUAACACGUGAGUAACCUGCCCUUGACUUUGGGAUAACUUCAGGAAACUGGGGCUAAUACCGGAUAGGAGCUCCUGCUGCAUGGUGGGGGUUGGAAAGUUUCGGCGGUUGGGGAUGGACUCGCGGCUUAUCAGCUUGUUGGUGGGGUAGUGGCUUACCAAGGCUUUGACGGGUAGCCGGCCUGAGAGGGUGACCGGCCACAUUGGGACUGAGAUACGGCCCAGACUCCUACGGGAGGCAACAGUGGGGAGUAUUGCACAGUGGGCGGAAGCCUGAGGCAGCGACGCCGCGUGCGGGAUGACGGCCUUCGGGUUGUAAACCGCUUUCGCCUGAGACGAAGCGUGAGUGACGGUAAUGGGUAAAGAAGCACCGGCUAACUACGUG